rnacentral:rRNA from 1 species
AUUGAACGCUGGCGGCAGGCCUAACACAUGCAAGUCGAGCGGAGCGGCGGACGGGUGAGUACUGACUAGGAAUCUGCCUGGGAGUGGGGGAUCACGUCCGGACACGGGCGCUAAUACCGCCGACUAUCAGAUGAGCCGAGUGCGGAUUAUCUCGUUGGGGGGGAAAAGGCCUCCAAAGGCGACGAUCCGUAACUGGUCUGAGCGGAUGAUCAGUCAAACUGGAACUGAGACACGGUCCAGACUCCGACGGGAGGCAGCAGUGGGGAAUAUUGGACAAUGGGCGAAAGCCUGAUCCAGCCAUGCCGCGUGUGUGAAGAAGGUCUUCGGAUUGUAAAGCACUUUAAGUUGGGAGGCGUUACCAACAGAAUAAGCACCGGCUAACGUCGUGCCAGCAGCCGCGGUAAUAC